CCCCAGCGCCACUAGUGGGAGUCGCGUUUAUUUGGCCUAAAGCAUCCGUAGCUGGUUUUGUAAAUCCCUUGUGAAAUUGUUAGGCUCAACCUAACAGCGUGCAGGGGACACUGCAGAACUAGGGACCGGGAGGAGUCAGAGGUAUGUUGAGGGGAGCGGUAAAAUGCUAUAAUCCUCGAUAGACCACCUGUGGCGAAGGCGUCUGACUAGAACGGGUCCGACAGUGAGGGAUGAAAGCCAGGGGA
rnacentral:rRNA from 1 species